CCUACGGGUGGCAGCAGUGGGGGAUAUUGCACAAUGGGGGAAACCCUGAUGCAGCGACGCCGCGUGUGGGAAGACGGUCCUCUGGAUUGUAAACCACUGUCCCCAGGGACGAAGAUGACGGUACCUGGGGAGGAAGCUCCGGCUAACUACGUGCCAGCAGCCGCGGCAAUACGUAGGGAGCAAGCGUUGUCCGGAAUUACUGGGUGUAAAGGGAGCGUAGGCGGGUUGGCAAGUUGGGUGUUAAAUCUACCGGCUCAACUGGUAGUCGCACUCAAAACUGCUAUUCUUGAGUGAAGUAGAGGCAGGCGGAAUUCCUGGUGUAGCAGUGAAAUGCGUAGAUAUUAGGAGGAACACCAGUGGCGAAGGCGGCCUGCUGGGCUUUUACUGACGCUGAGGCUCGAAAGUGUGGGGAGCGAACAGGAUUAGAUACCCGUGUAGUC
rnacentral:rRNA from 1 species